UUGCUUUCUUAUCUCCGUCGAAAUAAAAAACCCAUCUACACAAAACAGAACUCGAAACCCUCCACUUCUCUAUAUCAACUGAUGAUAAUCAUAAUCAUGUCAAAGAAUUCUGUGAUUCUGAUGCUAGGUUUCAGAGGAUCUAACUCAAUCGCAAAAUCCCCAAAUCCAGUUGUCUGAAAAAAUUGAAAUCUCAGCUGAAAAAUUGAAGUCCAGAUUUGAACUGAAAAUUCUAAGAGUUGAAUUAGAGGAUUGGGUAAAAAUUGAAGGCCGAGAUUUAAAUUAAAAACCCUAAGAGUUGAAUCAGAGGAUUGGGUUGUCCAUUGGUUGUUGCAUAUGUAGGAGACGAACCCUAGAACUUGGAAUUGCGAAUUUCAGUGUGGUUGUUGUUGGUGGUGAUCCUUGGUGAUGGUGGUGGUGACGUACGCGGAAAUGAAGUAAGAAUCAGAGAUAUAAUUAUUGAAGGUCAAGAAUAACAUUUCCCUGGAAGUCAGACAUAUGAUUUCCUCCAGUGUCCUUAUGUUCCGCACUCCCAUUUACUGCCAGGUACAAACAAUUGAAACCAUCCAAAGAACGUUAUCAGACAAAAGAGAACACAUAAUACAGUUCCUGCAAUGGGAUCCGACAACGCCCCGAGGAAGAGAUCCCGCCUAAGUCCGGAAAAUAUUGAUGCUUCAGUGGAGCUUACCCGGCCUCUAGCUCCAGACCCCGCAAAAGUCCAAGACUUUUGGAACAGGCUCAACGUCAAGCAUUGAUGCAAGCACAAAAUCAAAAAGGAUUGGUGUCUGGUUUUCUAAGUGUACAUUUGCUGUUGACAGUUCAAAUGGCGGUUACUUGAGAAAGCUCCACAAGUUGUCUACUUGCAUCUACAGUUGAAGAAACAAGCAAUUAUUGAAGAUUUCCAUGAGACAAGAGCAGGUGUGUCGAUAGUUUCCUUGAUGUUUAAUUUUUUCUUGGAACAGAAAGGCAAGUGCAUUGCCAAUUCCCUAGAUAGAGGGAGGUAUACAAUAUAGGGAUUUUCCUGAAUUGAAAUUUUGAUCAAAAUUGGGGAAAGAUUGUUUCUGGUUCCGUAAUUGUUAAGAUGAUAAUGGAUAUUUUGGUGAUGGUGGAGUGUUGGAGAUUGUGACAGAUGUCGAAGACGAUGAUAGUGAGACACAAAGGUUUAGUAGCGGGGAUGAGGGAGAUUUUCCGGGAAACGGUUUAAAUUUUUAGUGGCUAUGUAAUUAUGUAUAAAUUUUUGAUUCAUUAAAAUGAGAGUAAUUUCAACUUA